rnacentral:rRNA from 1 species
CCUACGGGUGGCAGCAGUGAGGAAUAUUGGUCAAUGGGCGGAAGCCUGAACCAGCCAAGUCGCGUGCAGGAUGACGGCCCUACGGGUUGUAAACUGCUUUUAUACGGGAAUAACGCGCCUUACGUUUAGGGCUUUGCAUGUACCGUAUGAAUAAGGACCGGCUAAUUCCGUGCCAGCAGCCGCGGUAAUACGGAAGGUCCGGGCGUUAUCCGGAUUUAUUGGGUUUAAAGGGAGCGUAGGCCGCAUGUUAAGCUGGCUGUGAAAUGGCCGGGCUCAACCCGGGCCUUGCAGCGCAAACUGGCGUGCUUGAGUCCGCGGAAGGCAGGCGGAAUUCGUCGUGUAGCGGUGAAAUGCUUAGAUAUGACGAAGAACCCCGAUUGCGAAGGCAGCCUGCUGCAGCAGAACUGACGCUGAUGCUCGAAAGCGCGGGUAUCGAACAGGAUUAGAUACCCCAGUAGUC